AUACGUAGGUGACAAGCGUUAUCCGGAUCUACUGGGCGUAAAGGGCGUGUAGGCGGUCUUGCAAGUCAGAAGUGAAAUUCCUGAGCUCAACUCGGGCGCUGCUUCUGAAACUGCAGGACUUGAGUGCUGGAGGGGAUAGCGGAAUUCCUAGUGGAGCGGUAAAAUGCGCAGAUAUUAGGAAGAACACCGGUGGCGAAGGCGGCUAUCUGGACAGUAACUGACGCUGAGGCGCGAAAGCGUGGGGAGCAAACAGGAUUAGAUCCCCUGAUAGUCCACGCCGUAAACGAUGAAUACUAGGUGUAGGGGGUAUCGACUCCCUCUGUGCCGCAGUUAACACAAUAAGUAUUCCGCCUGGGGAGUACGGCCGCAAGGUUGAAACUCAAAGGAAUUGACGGGG
rnacentral:rRNA from 1 species